AUUGAACGCUGGCGGCAUGCCUUACACAUGCAAGUCGAACGGUAACAGGGAGCUUGCUCCGCUGACGAGUGGCGAACGGGUGAGUAAUGUAUCGGAACGUACCUUUUAGUGGGGGAUAACGUAGCGAAAGUUACGCUAAUACCGCAUAUUCUCUGAGGAGGAAAGCAGGGGACCUUCGGGCCUUGCGCUAAUAGAGCGGCUGAUAUCAGAUUAGCUAGUUGGUGAGGUAAAGGCUCACCAAGGCGACGAUCUGUAGCGGGUCUGAGAGGAUGAUCCGCCACACUGGAACUGAGACACGGUCCAGACUCCUACGGGAGGCAGCAGUGGGGAAUUUUGGACAAUGGGGGCAACCCUGAUCCAGCCAUGCCGCGUGAGUGAAGAAGGCCUUCGGGUUGUAAAGCUCUUUCGGCCGGGAAAAAAUCGCAUGGGCUAAUACCCUGUGUGGAUGAUGGUACCGGAAUAAGAAGCACCGGCUAACUACGUGCCAGCAGCCGCGGUAACAC
rnacentral:rRNA from 1 species